rnacentral:lncRNA from 1 species
AUGUCUUUCAUCUUUGAGUGGAUCUGCAGUGGCUUCAGCAGUGUGCCCCAAUUCCUAGGACUCAACAAGAAAUCUGGAAAACUUUUAUUCGUAGGUUUAAACAAUACAGACAAAACCAUUCUUCUUCACAUGAUCAAAGAUGACAGAUUGGGCCAACAUAUUCCAACACUACAUCUGACAUCAAAAGAGCUAACAAUUGUUGGAAUGACUUUUACAACUUUUGACCUUGGUCAGCAUGAACAAGCAUGUCGAGUUUGGAAAAAUUGUCUCCCAGCAAUGAAUGGGGUUAUCUUUCUGGUGGACUGUGCAGAUCAUUCUUGCCUUAUAGAAUCCAAAGUUGAGCUUAAUUCUUUAAUGGCUGAUGAAACAAUAUCCACUAUGCCAAUCCUUAUCUUGGGUAACAAAAUUGACAGAACAGAUACAAUCAGUGCAGAAAAACUCGGUGAGAUAUUUGGGCUUUAUGGACAGACCACAGGAAAGGGGAAUGUGACCCUGAAACAGCUGAAUGUUCGCCCCGCGGAAGUGUUCACGUGCAGUGUGCUCCAGAGGCAAACCUACAGGGAGGGUUUCUGA